ACGCUCGACACCUACGGUAGGCAGCAGUGGGGAAUAUUGCACAAUGGGGGAAACCCUGAUGCAGCGACGCCGCGUGAGCGAAGAAGUAUUUCGGUAUGUAAAGCUCUAUCAGCAGGGAAGAAAAUGACGGUACCUGACUAAGAAGCCCCGGCUAACUACGUGCCAGCAGCCNCGGUAAUCUGAGCGGCUGGCAAGGC
rnacentral:rRNA from 1 species